AUGAACGCUGGCGGCGUGCUUCACACAUGCAGGUCGAACGAAGCACUUUAUUUGAUUUCCUUCGGGACUGAUUAUUUUGUGACUGAGUGGCGGACGGGUGAGUAACGCGUGGGUAACCUGCCUUGUACAGGGGGAUAACAGUUGGAAACGGCUGCUAAUACCGCAUAAGCGCACAGCAUCGCAUGAUGCAGUGUGAAAAGCUCCGGUGGUAUAAGAUGGACCCGCGUUGGAUUAGCUAGUUGGUGAGGUAACGGCCCACCAAGGCGACGAUCCAUAGCCGACAUGAGAGGGUGACCGGCCACAUUGGGACUGAGACACGGCCCAAACUCCUACGGGAGGCAGCAGUGGGGAAUAUUGCACAAUGGGCGAAAGCCUGAUGCAGCGACGCCGCGUGAGCGAAGAAGUAUUUCGGUAUGUAAAGCUCUAUCAGCAGGGAAGAUAAUGACGGUACCUGACUAAGAAGCACCGGCUAAAUACGUG
rnacentral:rRNA from 1 species